GAUUAGUCAGCUGAUCCUCACUAUGAGAUUAACAUUUAACCCAGUUGACAGAAGCAGACCUGGGACACAUAAAUAUUGAUGGCUGGGUAAGAGAAGCCAGAGAGAAGAACAGCAAAUGAAAUAACGGCUUUAGGGAUCCUGUGAUGCUGGCAGAAAUCCAGAAGGAUGCACACUCAGUCAUGACAGCAUCUACGAGACCAGGAUGGUGGGCUUCUGAUUAAAGGAUUCUUUCACCUUGUGUGCAGGGCUGGAGUUUCAAAGAAUAUAAUCAUAUACUAUUCAGGUGAUUAUAAACAAGAGUGGUUUUUGUAUAUUUAUGUUCAUAUAUUUAUAUUUUUGCAUUGCAAGAUACCUGUCUCUAUGAGUUAACUUUUACUGCACAAUAAACUACCCCAA
rnacentral:lncRNA from 1 species